rnacentral:lncRNA from 7 species
CCUUGCCAGCAUCAGGAUGGGAGCCGGAUAGGGAGCCUUUCCCUCCCGUGGAUGUCUCUUGCCUGGAUUUGGUUUGCUUGGUGCUGUGUUUGGGCUGAUGGCGACCUCGUGUAGUUCAUCGUCUCCUUUGGGACCCGCCUGCAGCCCUCAGCAUCUCCCAGCACUGUCCUCGCUUACCGCAGCGGCACCUACGAGCCCGGCAGGAUUAUUGAUUCAAUGCACUGAUUCUGUUCUGUGUGAAUCCAUCUCCUGAAUGCCAGCACCAGAGGUCUCUUUUCUACUCUGGAGUCAACUGCCUGAAGAACAGUGAGGCUAUAAACCAUCUGUAACCCCAUGACAGACCUCCAUGGCUUGUAACAGGACCUCUCCAUGCAACCAUUCACAUUUAGCAGACUUGUGGUCACGGUGGUUUUUGCCUGUAGGACACACGAACCGUUGUUGGAAGACUCUCCUUAUCUUGGUGCCUGUGCGCAGAAGUGUGGAAGGGGAAACUGCAUCAGGAGGGAAAAUCUUCCUCUGAUGAGAGCCAGCAGGUGGGGAGCAGAGCUGCAGGCUCAGUGCUCAGCCCUGGGCACGUCCUUCACCCCUCCCAUCCUACCCAGUGCAGGUGGAAGAUCUUGGCUUUUGGGGUUCCUGUUGUUACCCUCUAGCAAGUUCCCAGGAACAAAUACUGAUAUGUGCAUAACCCAAAGCAUGACAAAAGGAGGGGAAAAAAAAAGCACUUUUCUUACUCAGCUUUAAUUGCUUUUCACCAGAACAUCCUCUUCAGCAGCUGAGCCCUCUCCCGAGAGCACUCUGCACACCCCCUCUCCUUCCUGCAAGGAGAACACUGUCUCUGCAGAUGGCAAUUGUUUGCUUUGCGGUUACUGAUGUAUGGAGCAAUUUAGAGAGGGGAGAAAAAAAAUCUCCAACCUUUCCUUUCAUAGGUUCAGUGGGAGCAAUCGCUGAGCCCAUUCAUCUUGUGUGUUCACCAAAGCUGCUGCAACCCAUGCAGGGCU